CAGCUCCCACAAGGGGCACACGGGCCAUACCCCUCUCAGUAGCUUUCGGGUACGGGCAAGGAAAAUGAGUGUAGAUUCAACUAGGACACCAGGUGGAAAAGAUGGCGUUGGAGGUCACUUCGCUGUGUCGCUGGACCUCUCUCCAGAAAGGUCAUGACUUCCACCAGCUCAUCAGGAAGAAGGACAUGAGGCCAAGAGAGAGCUGGUCUCCUCUGGCCUCACAUCUGGAUGCCACUGGACAGAUUUACUUUUUGGAAGUUAGCUUCUGAAUGUGUCACAGAUACAUGCACCUUCGAGUCAGGACUGCAAACUCAGCAGUUACGAAACAGCCAGGCCGGUGAGAGACGCCCGGGCAGCGGUUGCAGGAUGUCAAUGUGAAGUGUGGAAACAGUGUUGUGAGCUACCACCUCUGCGAAGACAGAUUUGAUCUUUUGCUGGCUGAGAAAUGAUAGUCUCAGAGAUAAAGAAAGAGGUUGGGAAGGUGGGCGGUCAGCGAAAUCCACACCGGAAGGACGACCUGCAAGCUACUGCGUGGCAUACCACGUGACAUCGUGCAAGCAUCCUCUGUCAGCAGCCGCUGCCCCCUGAGGCCUUGGUGUGGACAUUCCUGUGUCAGUGAGCGACAGGGAGCACCUAACAGCCAUGCUUGGGCUCGGUACUCACCAAGCUAUUUCCACAUUCAGUUCAGUUUCUCCUGCUCUGUCCACAGUCAUUAAAGCAAACCUAAAUAUACA
rnacentral:sRNA from 1 species